UACGGAGGGUGCAAGCGUUAUCCGGAGUUACUGGGCGUAAAGCGCGUGUAGGUGGAUCGGUAAGUUACUUAUAAAAGCUCCUGGCUAAACUAGGAGAGGUUGAGUGAUACUGCCAGUCUUGAAUAGAGGAGAGGUUGACGGAAUUCCGCGUGUAGUGGUGAAAUGCGUAGAGAUGCGGAAGAACACCAGUGGCGAAGGCGGUCAACUGGCCUCAUAUUGACACUCAGACGCGAAGGCAUGGGUAGCGAACGGG
rnacentral:rRNA from 1 species